rnacentral:rRNA from 1 species
AUUCCAGCUCCGAUAGUGUAUAUUAAAGUUGUUGCAGUUAAAAAGCUCGUAGUUGGAUUUCUGGCGGGAGCGAUCGGUCCUUCACUCAGUGUUGGAACCUGAUUGUCUCCUGCCAUCCAUGGAGAAAACUUAUCUGGCAUUAAGUUGUCGGGUAGGCAAUCUCCAUCUUUUACUUUGAAAAAAUUAGAGUGCUCAAAGCAGGCUUUUACGCCUGAAUAUUCGUGCAUGGAAUAAUAGAAUAGGAAGUCGUUUCUAUUUUAUUGGUUUUCGGAAAUCGACUUAAUGAUUAAUAGGGACAGUCGGGGGCAUUUGUAUUCAAACGACAGAGGUGAAAUUCUUGGACCGUUUGAAGACAAACUACUGCGAAAGCAUUUGCCAAGAAUGUUUUCAUCG